CUGAGCCGGCCGGCAUCCAACGGUGUUUCCAUGGUGGUCUAGUUUCAAUUGACUCAUGAUUUCAACUAUGA
rnacentral:tRNA from 1 species